rnacentral:rRNA from 1 species
UACAGAGGUCCCGAGCGUUGUUCGGAUUAUUGGGCGUAAAGGGUGCGUAGGCGGCGGAGUAAGUUGGGUGUGAAAUCCCGGGGCUCAACCUCGGAAUGGCAUUCAAUACUGCUUCGCUAGAGUACUGGAGAGGAGGCUGGAAUUUACGGUGUAGCAGUGAAAUGCGUAGAUAUCGUAAGGAAGGCCGGUGGCGAAAGCGAGCCUCUGGACAGUUACUGACGCUGAUGCAC